GAUGAACGCUGGCGGCGUGCCUAAUACAUGCAAGUCGAGCGAACAGACGAGGAGCUUGCUCCUCUGACGUUAGCGGCGGACGGGUGAGUAACACGUGGAUAACCUACCUAUAAGACUGGGAUAACUUCGGGAAACCGGAUCUAAUACCGUAUAAUAUAUUGAACCGCAUGGUUCAAUAGUAAAAGACGGUUUUGCUGUCACUUAUAGAUGGAUCCGCGCCGCAUUAGCUAGUUGGUAAGUUAACGGCUUACCAAGGCAACGAUGCGUAGCCGACCUGAGAGGGUGGUCGGCCACCCUGGAACUGAGCCACGGUCCAGACUCCUACGGGAGGCAGCAGUAGGCAAUCUUCCGCAAUGGGCGAAAGCCUGACGGAGCAACGCCGCGUGAGUGAUGACGGUCUUCGGAUCGUAAAACUCUGUUAUUAGGGAAGAACCAAUGUGUCCGUAAAUAUGCACGUCUUGACGGUACCUAAUCAGAAAGCCACGGCUAACUACGUG
rnacentral:rRNA from 1 species